UACCUGAAGAGAGAGAAAAGUUGGGAAUGAAGGAAGAGAAUGUGUGCAGGUGAGGGUCAUUGGGAAAAGCUCCUCAGGGUUAGCUCCAAGUUGAGUAUGAAGGGACAAUAAUCUCUAGAAGGUAUGGGUGUUCUAAGAAUUAAUGGAAUGCUAGGAGACGACAGUUUUUAGUAACUCCCAUGAUGCCAUGGGGUGGGAAUAGGAAGCUCAAAUACGGGUAUUAAGGGCAGAGAGGACCUUAGACAACCCUGCUGAGUUCCUGCUGCCCCAAGAAAUGUGGGGGAGCAAUUGUAUUUUCUUAUCGUUCUAAGAUGGAGGUGGGAGUAGGCUGAGAGCAUGUCAGAGAUCCAGAAGAUCCAGAAGAUGCCUCUUAGGACCAGAAAAAGCACUUUUCAAACAUUUGUUCUCUCAUGCCUACUCACAUUCACUUUGAUAAAGCAAGUCACAUGACAGAAUCCAAGUUGGGGACCGAGUGGAGGUGGGCUGGGAAUAUUUUUUGACUUUUUAGUGGGAGGAAUUGAAAUGUCACAAUGAAAGGGAAUGGGUCCAGGGAGGAUGAAGAAUUGGAGCUAUUAAUAGAAUCUACUGGAGCAGGCUUCAAGCGAGAACAACGACCCCCACCUCUUGGAGCAGCUGGGAAGAUCUAAUCGUGCCUGGCACACAGUAGGCAAUUAAUAAAUGUUGGCUAAGUAAAAUAAA